rnacentral:lncRNA from 10 species
GGUUUGUAAGGCACAAAAUGAGGAGGCCACUAUGCCUUCCCUCAAGAGGUUCACAUUGGCAAGUACCAGAGAGCAAAAGACAAUGUUCUAUUAGAUUCUUUCUACUGAUAGCCCUAUAUCCUCAUGACUUUUCUUACCUGGAGAAAUCACUUUGGGGUAAAGUGGCACGCCUGAGAUUCCAGCACGAGGAAGUCUAGAUGACAACCCAGCCUUCAGAUUCCCAGUAUGUCUCACAUGGAAAAAGCAAAACUAAAAUCCACCACUUUGAAUGGCAAAAAGCGACCAUGAGUAGAGAGUCCCGUAUCUUUGGGGUUGUACAUACCUAAGGGAUUUCAGUGUCAGUGGAGGGCAUGGCUAGCUUUUUCUCAUCCUCUUCUUCUACAAGAUGGAUGUCUGGCCUGUCUCUGGCAGGUCGUCUUGGGGGAUUGGGUCUUCCUCCAGGUGGGUCAUUACCUGUGGGUGUCUGUUGCUGGAGACAUAGCUGGUUCCAGUGAGGAUCCAGCUGCCCUUCUCCAUGUGGCUGAGAUACCACAGUACAGCAAAGGCAUAUUAGAUCCCACUGAAAAUUCAAGCAGGUCUUUACUAUGGGGGCUCUGAUAGUU